GGAUCUAUUACCAUUGCAUAGAUGAAGACACCAAGCAACAGUGCAGCUAAAGAACUUGCUUGAUGAUUCACAUACAGUCAGGGCAAGACAGAGCUGGGACUCGAGGAGAUGCACAGUAAACACUUUGCAACAGGGCGCUAGAUUGCAAUUAAGAGGUGGGCAACCACCCAUGCCACCCACUAUGAUGGCCCUAUCAGAAGCCAGCUCCACAUUCCUAGACAUUCAAAACUUUGUAAGUACUCAGUUUCAAGUAUUUUGCUAGGAUACUGGAAACCAGAUUACAUAAUGGUCCAUGUGACUGA
rnacentral:lncRNA from 1 species